CAAUUGUGAAGAUUCCAAAAACAUUCUUCAUAGACUUCUAAUCAAUUAGAUCCGAUGUAUUCCAAUCUUUGAGAUCUGAUGUGUCAAUGCCUGAUUGCUCUAUUGAAGUCUCCGCGGUUCCUUGCUUCCGUUCCCGGGAAUCGAAUGAAUCGGCAUUCCAGGACUGAUACAGCAAGGUCCGGGCACUGAUUGGACAGAUUCCAAACUGCUAUCGAUCUGCAGCGAUUUCCUGGAAAGAACUGGAGAGUUUGGACCAUUUAUAAGAAGGUACCAUGGUGUGUGCUGGCGCAGUAAAGAUCCAGGCAACCACCGGCACUGUGGACCUGGUUCUGGGUAUGGGCAAACAUAACUUCCGGUGGAAACUAAUCUGGUGUAAUGAAGUGUUUCUAUUACACUUGGAUCAGUCCAUGGUCAUAGCCAGCAAUGUCUAUCUGAUAAGGGACACCCCCAUAUUGUGACGUACUUCCGAUCGAAAUUAACAAUAAAAUCAAGCAUUUAAUAUUUUAUAAACUUUUUCUUUCUUUCUUUUCUUUGAAAUAGAGGUCGAAUCCCGCUGGGGCUUUUGGUCAAAUAUUGUAAAAUUUGAAAACGGUGAAAGUAUUUGAUUAUAAUAAAAAUUUUAUCCACAUUAAUAUCAACAGGUGUCUCGUACCACCUUCAAGGAAGAAAUGUGCUGAAAAUCCACACAAAUUGUCAGAUUCAACUUCUUGAUCACAAAUCGGGUACAUAAUGUUUGAGCAGUUGAUAAAUAGAUUUUCUAUUAUUUUAAAAGUUUCUGAUGGCAUAAAAAAAGAAGAAUGUCAAUAAAUGAGAUGCUUUUUUAUUCCUGUGACAAUGACACAUUAUCUAUACACGUUUACUUUGCCCCUGUAGAACUUUUUAACACAGACAUGACAAAUGACUUUUUCUGUUUUGAGUAAGGUCUCUUUAGACAGGAAACAAGUUGAGCAGAGAAAGAUGUACAUACAGUUGAAUAUAAAGACAGAAACAUGGCAAGAGAGCCUUCUGUCAGACCUAAAGAAUACAGUAAAUCAUAGUUUUACUUUUUAUAUACUCGGGUCUCCAUAUAAUGCUAUACAUGGAAAUUUAAAAUGCAAUUUUAACAAGCAUUUUUAAACACUACCAAAACAUAGCUGUUCACAUAAACAUAUAAUAUCAACAAUUUUUCUGGAGAUUCUUGUUGUUUCCAGAGAAAAAUGACAAAACAUUUAGGAAAAACAGGUACUGUAUGGACAAAACAAAGAGUCUCAGAUAGAGACACUGAAACUAGCAGGUCUCAGAUCAAUAGAUUGCACAGCAAGCUUAUAUUUGUAAAUAAAAGGUAACUGAUUUAGAAUAUACACUUAUAAAAACCAUAAAAGCACUAAAUGAACAAAACAAAUACAUUUAAAAGUGGAAAGAAAAAUAAAGAGCAUAUGAACAAUGAAGGAAAGGAAUUCCUAACAAAACAAUGACUCUCAUAACACUAGAGAUCUAAAUCAGUACAAUUAAUUGUACUUGUAUUAAUUAAUCUGACACUAGCACAACUAUUAGUAUUGCUCUGACAUCAUUGUAUAGUACAUUUACUAAUCUGUACUAUUAGUACUGAUCACACAAUACUGACUCAAUCCAAAUUAUGACUAGCUGUGCAAAGUCUCAGGAACCAGAGAACGGAAGGACUUGUGAUGCUUGUAUAUGUUUAUUUCAUUGAAUAGACUAAAAAGACAGGAACUCACACAAAGUAGGAAGCUUUGUGUUUUACGUUCUGUUAAGAAAUGCACAAAUUAAUACUAUCAUUGUUCAACACAUUUAGAACUUAGAACAAUACAUUAGCUUAACAUAUGUCAAACUCAAACAAAUUCUACCAUCAUCCACGGAUGACUACUUGCAUUGAUCACAGUGAACAAUUCUACAGAUACUGGAAGAUCAUUGAGCAGGAUAUCAAAAACCAUUUGUUCGUUUACUCAAUGCUUUCACUCUCACAUUCAUCCCAUAAGGAUAUUCAAACAAAGUCACAAUUUUUGACACAAAUUUCAAUCCGAGUUGUAUUGCACUCAUACAGAAAAACAUGUUCUGGUUUUAUGAAGUACAAAUACACUAAAUAAUGAUAAUUUUACAAAAAACUUGUUCAUUGAAUAUCAAUGAACAAGUUUUUUUGUAAAAUUUUUUGUUACAAAAAUCAUGAAAAUGGACGAAAUAUAUCGAGAUUCCAGAUAAACAUAACGAUACAACCAAAGCUGGACACAGAUCCAUACAAAGGAUGGAGAGGCUCUUUGUACAGCAGCACAAGUACAAAGUGGAGAUUUCAUCCUGUACCAUAUCCUGAAUAUACAUAACCCAAUACCAGAAAUUCCACUCAGACACAAAAUGAGGAUAUCAUUAUGGAAAGAUGAAUCAUAACCAGAAAUAAAAACAUUUUUCUUUCCUUUUGGCCAUUAUUUGUUUUAUACUCUCUGAGUGGUUGUCGUGGAAUGUACGAUACUAUCAUUAGAGUAUAAACUCCCUGAUGCAACUAUCUUCCGUUUCAUUACAGAAAUUAUCAAAAUGGCCAGCUUUAAACAACAAAUGAAAGAGCAUCGUUGACAUCCACUGCACAUUGUAAUUAAGUAUAUUGUUGUUUCCAUAGCAACAGUUUUAUCAUUGUUUCAGAUGUACACAAACCUUUCACAAUAUUGCCUACUAUCUACCAGUAUUCUCUUUUUGUAAGUACUACACAUAAAAUUUUUGCAUUGCAUUGCAAUAGAGAUCAGCAUUUGUCUCGUGUUUCUAAGUGUAAACAGAGUAUUAUCAACUCUUCCUUUGUGAUUCCUAAAGUGAGUAUUAUAAGUAUCUAAGACAUCAUUAUAAAAAUUUAAGACCUUCUGCACUUAUUUCUAAUGAAGAAAUGGGGGGGGGGGGGG